CAGAGACAGAGUGAAGACUUGUGCUGAAGCCUGGAGAAUAGAAUGAAAUAGCAAAGUGACAAAGAAGUUUACCACUGGAAGAGCUCAGAGAAAAAACAUAGGAAGAACUAGACUCAGAGAUGUACAGGAACAUAACUAGAAAGUGGCAGAGUCAAAUUUCAAGGACUGGAGGAACAUGCCUGUCCUCCUCACUGGCUGGAGUCUCAGUCUCCCAGAGUGUUCCGCCUGCCCCUGAUGUCCAGCCCCAAUAAUCACCAGAACCCAGUGUAAUGUGGG